AUCAUAAGGGAGCAUGAAGAGGGUACAGGAGGAGUGGGCUUUGGAACCUAUGCCCCACAGGCCUUGGGGUCCUUGGAUGCAUCUUAAUGGAUUCCAUUGGGGAAGGGAAGAGCCCCAGGUCUCCAAUGACUUCACUGCUCUCUGAUGAUUCAAGUCCACUCAGCCACUAGCUUCAGAGUUUAUUCUCGGACAUGAUGGGGACAGCAGCCCUGGCGAAAGCAGACAGCUGGGGAGACCCUGCACCCUUGGGAACAGCUGCUCUACUUGCAGGUGGGAGGUGCUGGCACUAAUGGCGACUGGCUGUGUUUAUGAAUGUGGGUCUAGGAAUGUGUGUGACAGUUUGGCUUGUCUGUCUGCAAUAGCCCAUCCCAGUGUAGGGGGCUGUCCGUGAGGAGAGGGAGGGCCCUGAGCUGGGUUGGAUGCUCUGAGCUUGUUUUUCUCUCUCUUCUGCUCCUUCCUGUGGAUUUUAGUGGGAAGUGACUUUCUAUCCCAAGCAGCAGCAGGGCAGAAGUUUCCAGUGUCUGGUGCUUGGAAGCAUUUGCUUAGGGUGAGCUCACAGGGCCAUCAUGAUAGACUCAGAGCAAGGGGCCACUGAUGGCCCACAGAUGGGGAAACUGAGGCCAAGGGGACCCUGGGGGGCUGCUCCAUCAGAUUUUUGUGGAUAGCAUCGUCCUCUGCCCAGUUCCGGCACAUGACCUUGGAGACUGGCUCUCCUUCUAAACUGAAAGGGAAGAAGCAAGGCAGCGGGAAGGGGGGCCCAGGAAAGACUAGAAAAUGCUUGACAUGAGGGUCCCAGGGGCAGUCUCUGUCUGGGAUAUGUCAUAGGGAUGGGGUGGGGCUGACCAGCAGGACAGCUUAAGUGCUACAAGAGUCCUGAGAAGGAGUGAAGCCCACCCCAGGUAUUGAGCUGUGCAGGGGACAGGCUCAAGGACCUCCUGCAAGGUGACUUGGUUCUCCUCUGUUUCCAUCACCCUCAUCUUUGUAGGGGAAGAUCCCCAGGGCCACACGGCAGGGCUCUGAGCCUGGGGUGGGUGUGGGGAGUGGAGACGAUCCCCACCAGAGCAGACACACCCCAGUUCCUUUCCUGUUUGCAAUGGAGAUUAUUUUUAUCUUGAAGGCUCUAGCAGAUGGAACCCAACCAGGCACUGACAUUUGGUUAUUCCAAAUGCCACUCCACUGGUAUCAUACCUUAACCCCACCCCAAUCCCCACUCUAGUUUCGGUUCCCAGGAGGCCAAUGUGAGGAUGGCCAGGCUCAGGCUGAGAUGAGUGCUGACAGGAGGAAUGCCAGGACUCCCAGGGGCAGUGCAGGGCACGCCAGGCCUGGUGAGGGCCCUUCCACCAGCACCAGGGUGCCAGCCGGGGCUUUAGCACUGCCUCACAGCUGGCUCUGCCCAGCCCAUGGCCUCUGGGAUAGGAUGUGGGGUGCUCCCUCCUCACACCACCUCCCAGCAUGGCUCAUUCCUCUGGAGGUAGAGUGGCUUAGUCUCUCAUUAACAAGGAAGUAGACACGGCAAGAGCACGUUUGAUUUCUUUCCUUGGCAGACUGGCUUCGCUGCUGCAUGGGGCGAUGUGAUGUUCCUUCUCCUGCAGCUUCCUGGGGAGCCUUCUAACCCACUGGGGACAUUGUUUUAAACUCCAUUAAGCUAUUUCAACCCCAGAAAAACACACAACCAACAACCACAAAAGUGAUGGUUUCUUUUUUAAAAAACUGUUAUGUCAAACUUUAUUGUAAACCAUUUUACAAUAUAAGUACAUCAUCUUCCCUUUCAUUUUGAAACUGUAUUUCUGUGACUUGUAACACCACUGACGAAACACCCUUGCUGGGAUGGCGGCUGAAGUGGCCACGGUUCUGCUUACAUAGGUCUGACUUCUAGUAAACUUCAUGAAAAGAAAAAUCAAAUUGAAAACAACCAAACCAAUCAAUGAACCAACUGACCUGCCCACCCACCUGCCCAGGAGCUCAAGGUGCUCGAAGCAAGUCAGACCAAAAGUCUCUCACCAGAAGCAUUGCCCCUUGGGGCUUUCAAUGUCUUACAAGGUAAAACAGAGCUCUGCCUCUUAGCUGGAAGGGUGUGGAACUUCUAAGAGUCAGCCUUGUGCCCUAUGAAGUGGCUGCUCUGUCUGGCCAGCAGAAAGCCCCCAGGGCAACCUGUCUUGACUUGCUGCAAAAAGGUCACUGAAGUGCAGUCCGGAGGGCUGAGCAAGCCCUGCUCCCUCAGGGUCCUGGGCCAGCCUUCAGAUGUGGACCCUGGUACACUGCUGAAGAGAAGUUAUGACUUGCAUUUGAGCCUUUUUAUGUUCCCUGAAGAAAGAGGCAUGAGAGGUGACAUUAACCUAAGACUCCCUGUUACCAGGGAGGGCACAAGUGAAAGUUGUGGCAGGAGGCCACCACAGUGCUCAAGGGCUGAGGGGCCACAGACCCUCACCUUGCACAUCUUCAGGCUAUGUGGACUGAGAAGCCAUUGCCACCCAGGAUCUCAUCACCAUCUCCCUUGCCAUUGUCAAUGUCCUAAUAACAGCCAAAAGGAAAUAACAGCAACAACCACCUUUUCCAAUCAGAUCACAGUUCUGCCAUAUUGGUUUAUUUUCAAUAGUUACAAGAAACCUGUUCCUGACCUUGAUUUCAAGCUUCCAUUGUGGGUGGCUUGGCCAAGGUUCAGAUUUGGACAAAUCAGAUUGACCGUAUACAAUAUUCCGUCAGUAUCCCAUCAUUUCUCAAGCACGGUGACGCCUGCCAUUAGCCAGUGAAGGGCUGCACCUCGUAAGGCACCUCGGAGCAGGUGGUGAGGAAACUCAUCCCAGGGAGGGAGGACAGCUCAGGAGGAAGUCCUGACCACAGCUCUCUGUGUUGCUUUCAUGGGAGAGUGUGCCAUGUAAGAGCCCCAGUGACUAGAGAGCUGGAGGCUCUCCCAGGGCACAGGAGGAUGGGAAGGCCUAACAUGUGAUGAUGCCACACCGUCCAAGCCCACACACCAAGAGGCCCCUGGGAUCAGACAGACUCCCUGUUCGACCUCCACCCUUGUCAACCAGUUACACAGCUGCAGCUCAGAGACUCAAGCCCUUAUUAACAACAAUCAGGACACAGGACACCACCAGCACUCACUUGCUACCUCUGUCCCUCAAGCUCACUGUUCAGUGGAUGCUGGGACAAGCCUGGAUAUGAGGUCCUCUGAGGUGUACACAACCCCAAGUUUCCUUCUUUUACAGACAGUGGUCCCCUACCCCUGAACCUGGUUUGGAAACACUGGGAACUCAAGACUGAACAUGAAGCUUGAACUCUGAGUGACAGUCUCCCCAGAAAUGCCAGUCUUGGGUCUUGCCAGUCACAGUAGUCUGGGGAUGGGCAACCCAAGAGAGCCCCCACUGGAGACGUGGAGAUGUGGUAGGGAAAGACCACAGUUAUGGAAUGGGAGGAACCAAAGAGAGUGAAUGAGAGCAGGAGCAUUGUGGGACCUGCGCAGGCUCCAUCUCGCUCACUGCCAGCCUGUCCCCUCCUCUGGCAGCGAUCCCCACACUGGUGGAGUCACCUCCUACUGCACAGCUACAGUCCCUGCUCCUCACAGUGAUUCCGCAUUCCUGGAGGAAGAGGGGCUGAGAGGGCCUCCCUAAGCUAUUCCACCAUGUCCAAGACAGGCAGGACCACAAGCAGCAGCAGACGACAGUUCCAGGUGCCUGGUUCAACAGUCUGGCUUACAUACCACAAACAUAUUCAGACCCAUUAUGUUGAAGAGGAACAUGUUUUUACACAGGUUUAAAAAGAUGGUUCUGAGUGGAAUGGCCUCUGCGCUUGUCUCACUUGUAGCCCGCAUUAUAGCGUUUUUAUAGUUUUUUGUUUUAUAGUUUUUUGUUUCAUUAUAGUUUUCUGUUCCUAAGGAUCUGUGGCUGCCUCUUGGCAUGACAAACCACUGGGCAACUCCACCCUGCUGCUUCCACAGCAGGAAAGUGCUGGGCUCAGCCAGCUCCACCUCUAUUCAGCAAACUCUCCGAGCCACAGGGGCCUGUGGCCAGGCUGAAGAGCAGGUGCUACCAUGUGAGGAGGGGCUGCAGCCUCUGGAUUUAGACAGCAGGUUGUCUCACCUCUACCUGCCCACCCCAGCCUCCAUGCUCUGCAGAGUGGGGAAGGGGGGACUGAAAACAGGCUCGUCUGGCCGUGUGGAUGUUCUCCAGACUUCCAUGUAAAAUGAGCAGAUAACAGCAGGUGACAGGCACCAGAAGAGGAUUGACUCUGCAGGCUGCUGUAGUAGAGGCUAAGAGGCUGGGACUAUUUUACACUUGAGGGGAGAGGCAGGGAACAAACACGAGCAGCCCAUGCUCUUGAUUCCUCUGGACACAAAAACCUAACUCUUAGGCUCCUUUACCAGUUAAACCAAGACCUCUAACCUGCCAGCAGAAGUGACUGGGGUCCUGGCAGAUCCCCUCCUGUUCCACACACUCUGGGGCACGCAGAUCCACCUUCAGACCAGCUGCCUCAUGCACAGACCUGACCUUCCACAACCACGGGUUCUGAUUCCAGGCAAAGGCCGUCCACCUUGCCCACUGGGGUCACUUGCCUCAUUGUAGGACAUUACUUAACAAUAUCCCAAGUAGAAAAACUCUUGACUUCUUCCUCCCACAGCUCAUACCCCAUGAAAGGCAAACAAAUCCAUUUCUUUGGGGAUUAAAAAGAGUUUUUAAAUACAAUAGUAUGAAAAUAUAACUUAAAAAUAUAAAAGUCAAACAGCAUACGGAAGACUUAAAAAUCUAGGUUUUGCCCAUUAGUCCCAUAGGUACUUUGUAGGAAAUAAACACAUACUCAAAAAACAGUUAACACUGUCAUAGCUCAUAAAACCGGCUUUAGAAAUCAAGAGUUACAAAAGCCAUUUUGAGUAAGAAAGCAUUCCGGUUCCAACUUGGUCAGUGAGUGACUUUAGCCCCAAGCACGUCAUGUGUCCUCGCUGCCUGCAGCCUUGGGGAGAGACCCACCCGCGGUCUGUGUGGGCCUGUGUGGGCCUGUUUUUUCCUGUACCUCACCACCUGGUCAGACACAGGACAGGGGCUUUGGGGUCCCUCACAACACUGUGCAAGACAACAACAAACAAACAAAGCUCUUUGCUUGCAUAUUUGGUCAGUGUUUGUAGUGCAACUGGGCGGGGACCUCCAGCUGCCCACGGCCCACUUGGGUGCUGGUUCCUGUUCCCUCUUUUUAAGUCACAGUAGUCUGGGGGUGGGCAGAGAGUGGGCAGAGACAGCGAGAGGAGUGGAGGUAGAAGAGGAGGGGCAGAGAGAGGAGGGAAGGGAUGAUGCUGCGGGGUGACCACCUGCUGACCCAGCAGCUGGCUGGCCCCAAACUUGUCACCCCCAGCAUGGAAUGUGUCAUACAGGCAGCCCGAAGCGGUGCUUCUUUUUCUUCAUAGGCUUGAGUGGGGUCAGUCUGCGGAGGUCCUCCUCCACGUCGGACUCCUCCAUCUCAUCAUCGGCCGAGAUCAGGAUCUGGGCAGCGGAGAGGCACGGCUGAGACGUGGCAGCAGCCCUUCUGCGUUUGCCCUCCCUGGACCCCAGGCCCUGCCAGGAGGCCUCAAGUCUUGUGCUUCUGUGGAAGAUGGUGACAGGGAGGCCCCCUUACACAAUAAGACAUGCUGGCCCACCGAAACCAGCACUGAGUCCACAGACACCCCCCCUCCCCCGGCCUCUAUGCCAGUGCUCCUCAUUUCCCCAUCUAACUCCAGCUGCACCCAAACCAACCACACCUCAGCAGAGACCUGAAGCCCAGGGUCAUGCUGGCAAUAAGAAGCUCAGCCUUGACGCACGGAGUCCUAGGGCCUUGACGUUGCCUUAAAUACAGGAGAAGCAAACUGAAAAGCUGCAGGGGAACAUGACUUCCUACUCCAGGGACAGGGUAGUCUCACCAAUUCUCCCCUGGACUGAACCCUUGAGGGCUCUCUGCUUCCAAUCUCGGUUCCCUGAUUAAACCCUCACUGGCUCCCUACUGCUUAUACAAGCAUGUCCCAGGUCCUCAGCCUGCAGCACAAAGCACCUGCUCAUCUGGCUCACAUCUCGCCUGUACCUCACACUGCUUGACAUUCCAUUGUACACUCUGGAAUAAAUGCUGCUCUGGCCACAGUGAAUUUCACAUUAUUA